ACUGUAAUAUUAAUGUUACACGGUCUGUAGGUUUAAGAGUGACAGGCAUAACCUGGGAAAUAACUUGUGGGUGGGGUGCUUGCCACACAAGGAUGAGGAUGGGGCUAAAAUUCGAGAACCAAAUGUUAAAAUGCUUGAUCUUGAAUGAAUGGGCCUGUGACAUCAGCUCUAAAAGGACAGGGAAGAACAGGAGAUUCUAUCUCAAGGAAAUAAUAUAGAGAGUAACAGACUGUGUGUCUUCCCACAUGUGUGCAGACCACACAUGCAUGCCCCACACUGCCUCUUUCUCUCACACAUAAACACAUGUGCAAAUUUUUAACUUAUUUUUUUCUAAAUUAGCAUACAAUGUGUUAGAUAGUACAGCAUUUUUGCACAAAGUGUGAAAUUAUUCUUUUG
rnacentral:lncRNA from 1 species